GACGAACGCUGGCGGCGUGCUUAACACAUGCAAGUCGAACGAGAAUCGAUGGAAAGAGACUUCGGUCAAUGGAAGUCGAGGACAGUGGCGGACGGGUGAGUAACGCGUGAGGAACCUGCCUUUCAGAGGGGGACAACAGUUGGAAACGACUGCUAAUACCGCAUAAUGCAGCGGAGUCGCAUGGCUCUGCUGCCAAAGAUUUAUCGCUGAAAGAUGGCCUCGCGUCUGAUUAGCUAGUUGGUGAGGUAACGGCCCACCAAGGCGACGAUCAGUAGCCGGACUGAGAGGUUGACCGGCCACAUUGGGACUGAGAUACGGCCCAGACUCCUACGGGAGGCAGCAGUGGGGAAUAUUGGGCAAUGGGCGCAAGCCUGACCCAGCAACGCCGCGUGAAGGAAGAAGGCUUUCGGGUUGUAAACUUCUUUUGUCAGGGAAGGGUAGAAGACGGUACCUGACGAAUAAGCCACGGCUAACUACGUGCCAGCCGCCGCGGUAAAAC
rnacentral:rRNA from 1 species